UUUUAUUUUGUCUUAAACUUGAGUUAAUGGCUAAUUUAAAUGUGUACAGGUGCAUGGAAAUGGGGACAAAAAUUAAAGAAGGUUUAAUUCUUUGCUGCCGAAUUUAAUGUGCCCACAAUGGAUUUAAUUUGCUGAAUUAAUUCAUGUUGGUACCUCCUUCCUUGGACGGCAUUAAAGGAGCUGCUGGUGCUUUUUCAUGUGGCCAUUUAAUGGACAGAUUUAAUGGGUGCAUGCUUGCCGAAUUUAAUGUGCUGCAAAGACAAGCAUUCAAUGAGAUGUUGAAGAAAGCAUGUUGGAAUUCAUUAAAGAAGCUACUGCCGAAUUUAUGGGCCAUAUUGCAUGUAUUUAUUUUUGUCUUAAAAUAAGAAUUAAAGGCUGUUUUAAUUUGGUGCAGGAAUUUGGGCAUGGACGGCAUUUAAUUGCUGCUGAUUGCUCUCCUCCAUGCAUUCCUUCAUGAACAGCAAGGGCCUUUUUGGGAGUUUCUUUUCACUUUCCAAAGCAGCUCAAUUCAGCUCUUUAAUUACCUUGGAGGACGCCCCAACUGAUAAAUAAAUUUUUGCUAUCUUUUGGCCAUUCAGUUUCAUGAGUUCACACACACAAGGCUGUUUGAUACGAGUCACAAAAGCCCAAAUUCUUGAAGGCGAGGCCCAAUAAGAAAAUUCCCAGCCCAAUCAAGAAAUCCAUCCAUACUUAGUUGAAAAUCAGGCCAAAUUGUCAAAGUGGCCCAAGUUGUAAAGUUUUAUUUUUAUUUAUUUAUUUACUUAGUUUAAAUUUUUAUGUCAAUAUUCAGUCCAAGAGUCCCAGAUAAAAUGACCUUUGACCAAAUUUCCAUAUUAAAAUAAUUAGGAGUUUUUUUUUAUUUUAGUUUUCUAAUUAGAUUAGGACUAGUUAUAAGGCCUAUUUAAAAGCAUGGCUGUCCACCUUGUUAAACACUUAUCAUUAUUAUUAAAAUUUCAGAUUUGUUGAGAGCAGAAUUUUCUUUGAGUUUUCUCCAAGAUUUCUCUCUUGAGUUUUCUUUAGAAGUUGUUUUAACAAUCUUUUUGAUUGUGGGAGCCAUCUUCAACCUUCUUCUUGCCAUUGAUAUUCUUUGGAGGGGAGAUUAGAGCCGUUUGAAGGGAGUUGUGAGAUCUUUCGGGAUUUCAAGGCUUCUUAGGACUUAUCUUUUAAUUUCUUACUGUCAAUUCUUUCAUUAUUACUGCUUGUGCCGAAUCUUUAUCUAAUUUAUUUUCUGUUCUUAUUGUGUUUUCGGCUUUUUUCUAUCUUAAGGAAUUAGCCCCAAAAUCCCCAAUUUCUAGGGUUCUUGCCGAUUCAUCCAUACUCUUUUUGGGAAAAAUUAGAUUGCCAAAAUUUGGGGAAAACUAUCUGGGUGUUCAAUUGGGCAGAAUCGCAAUCUCUUCUAGGGUGUCAAGAUUCCUUAUUAACACUUAUUUCUAUUCUCUAUUUGAUUCUUUACUGUUUUGGGGAUUUUAUUUCAGAUCUGAAAAUUCAAAAAUCUAAUCUUUUAAUUUUUUGCUUCGUUUCAGAUCUAAUUGUUUAGGGUUUUCGUAGGAGUUUCCCGUGACUUGGCAACUCAAUCUUGGUCCGCGCGCAACCCCGUAUCAUUUGGUAUCAGAUUUUGGGCGUUUUGGGUGUUCUUGGUUGAUUUCUAAACUGAUCUCAAUAUUUUAAAGCAAAACCAGCAGUUUUAUCCAGAAAAAUCUUUCAAAAAAAUUUUAUUUGAGUGGGUAAACGUUGUCAAAUUGAUCUAAAAUUUUACAUACAUAUUUGUGGCACUGUGAUUGAAUAUAAAAAAUUUAUUCCUGCAAAAAAAUCAGUCAAAAAAGUCAAAAAAUCGAAAAAAAGACGAAAUCCAAUAAAAAUUUUAAAAAAAUUCAGCGGGUUGAGUUUGGUGCCCAAACUUUCCAGAUCAAAAAUUAAAUAUUUAAGGACAUUCGAGAUUUAAUUUUGUGAUUUUUUGAGAUCGGGAACACCUCGAACGAAGUUGUCAAGUUACUCCACAGUUUUUCGGGUUUUCUGUUUUCAGCAAUUUUUAUUGAUUCUUAGCUGUAGGUUUUCAUUUGUUUGCUUUUUAUUAUCCUUUUAAAAUAUCUAACACCUUCUUGUUUCUUGUGUUAGUAGGAUUUAAACGUGUGCACAAUCCUUCCUCGGUGCAACACGAAUCACUUGGUGUCUCGUCAGUUUUUGACAUCCUAGUGCAAAUUAGGAUUCUUUGGUAGUUUGGUUCACACUCUCUAAUUGGUUGAUAUAAACUCUGAUAAAGAACUCACAAGAUUGAAUUCGACCUCAUUGAGAAUUUGAUUUUUCUUUUUGAGUGAUUAAUGGUGAGGUUUGCUAACUUUUAUUUUUGAGUGUUGAGUGUUUAUUUUUUACAGGUUUUGAAGAUGUCUAAAGGUGAUAAUAAUGAUGCACUUAUGAAAGUCCAACAACAGUUAGACAGACAUACUGCUGCAAUCACACAAAUAAAUGCUACACUUCAAGCAUUGAAUACUACUUUGAAUGAGGUACGGGUGAAUCAAAAACAUCAAUAUCGAGAUCCAAUGAAGGAAGAUAAGGAUAACCAGCCCCAUAGGUGCAACCCUCAACGUGUCCCUAGAAUGGAUGAUGAUUGUCAUGAUCAUGGACAAUCAUCUUUGGCAAAACCAAAGAGCGAGCAGCAACGAGAACAUCUCUUUCAUACUCGUUGCCACGUACAAGGUAAGCUUUGUAGAGUUAUUAUUGAUGGUGAAAGUUGCUCGAACAUAGCCAGCACGACGAUGGUGGAAAAGCUUUGCUUAACCACUACCAAGCAUCCACAACCUUAUCAACUACAAGGGCUUAGCAACGAAGGCCAAUUUAGGGUCACUCAACAAGUGCGCAUCGCCUUUUCUAUCGGUAAGUAUCAAGACGAAGUUGUGUGCGACGUAAUGCCUAUUCAAGCCUGCCAUUUGUUGCUAGGAGAACCGUGGCAACUGGAUCGAAAAGUCACUCACGAUGGUCGUACCAAUAGGUAUUCUUUCAAGCAUCAAGGAAAGAAACUCACCUUAGUGCCGCUCACUCUGGAACAAGUCCAUGAGGACCAAAUCAAACUGAAAAAUUCUGUUAAAACAAGUGAGGAAAAAGAAAAAGAGAAUGAAAAAGAGCAAAAAGAGAUUGAGAGUGAAAAAGAAAUUGAAGAAAGAAGAGAAAAAGAAACAAAAGAAAAAGACGUGGAAAGGGUAGUGAGGAAUGUUUCCACUAACCAAGAUAUGAAUUUUUCUUGUGUUGCUACUUUUCAGGUUCCUGAAAGAUCGAAAGAUAACUUUCAACUUCAAUACCUCUCAAAUGGAAGACGCUUUCAUACGAUCAACUUAAGCAAAGAUGAAAUCACACUACAUGAUCCCGAAGGUAAGCGAGGUAAGGAAAUUUUAGAAACCGAGUCCAGUGCAGAUUUGAAAAUUAUUGAUAAAACUUUUGGUGACUUAGUUCUUAAAAGAUCCCCUCAUUUUGAUCCGAUUAAUUGUUACUCUUCGAUUGUGGUUGAUAAAGUCAUUACGAAAAGAAGCGUGAUUUGUUAUUCUCUUGAUUUACCUUGUGUAAAAUCCUUGAAUUUGUCCAAAUCUGUUUUGGAGAAUAAAGUAACGAAAUUUUCCAAAUUUGUUUUCAAUUUAUAUUCGUGCCUUAAACAGUUUAUGUGGUUGUACAUGAAGUUUGAGUUCCAUUUGACAAAGGUUAACUCAACAACGGAGAUUCGACUACACUAUGCCCCCGAUGAGCGAAGGUUUGUUUUAAAUGAAAAAGGUAAAAUCGACCCUUAUUCUUCUGCUUAUCGAGGUAAGAUGCUUGAAACCUUUGAAACACUUUUGUACUCCUCGGAUAGUGAUAAAGAUCGUGUUGAUGAACACUUAGAUCGAAACGUGCUUGACUGUCCUAUUUUAUUUAUUGAUGAUCUAUCUGUUUUGGUGGUUGAUAAAAAGAUUCUUGUUUUUGAUAAUGCAUGUGUGAGUGGAUCUAUAGACCGUCGAUUAAUGCAUGGUAUGAUUAUGCAACUCUGUGAACCAUGUGAAUCUUUUCAAAUACCUACUUGUGACGAUUAUGUUUACCAUUUGAUUUAUUACUCGCAAUUUAUUCAUGGUUUGUGGGAACAAUGUGAGACGACUGAAUGCCUUAAAACAUGUCCAUCUUUGUUUCAAAUAUUUGACGAGGCAGUGGUGAGUAAAUUAGAUUGUUUGCAUGGUAAUCUGAAUCUGUCCAUUCACAUGCGUUAUACCUGUUCUAUUAUGCUUAUGAUUGGACUACAAGCUUAUUUCCGCUGCUAUUUACUAUCUCAUGGCUAUUCUUCUCAGUGAACUCAAUUGCCAUUAGUCCCGUUCGAUAGAGGAAAGUCGAGUUCAUUUGAUUUUUCAGAUUCGAGGACGAAUCUUUUUGAGGAAGGAGGGAAUGAUACGAGUCACAAAAUCCCAAAUUCUUGAAGGCGAGGCCCAAUAAGCAAAUUCCCAGCCCAAUCAAGAAAUCCAUCCAUACUUAGAUGAAAAUCAGGCCAAAUUGUCAAAGUGGCCCAAGUUGUGAAGUUUUAUUUUUAUUUUUAUUUAUUUAUUUAUUUAUUUACUUAGUUUAAAUUUUUAUGUCAAUAUUCAGUCCAAGAGUCCCAGAUAAAAUGACCUUUGACCAAAUUUCCAUAUUAAAAUAAUUAGGAG
rnacentral:lncRNA from 1 species